rnacentral:rRNA from 1 species
GACGAAGGGGGCUAGCGUUGUUCGGAAUUACUGGGCGUAAAGCGUGCGUAGACGGUUAUGUAAGUCGGGUGUGAAAGCCCCGGGCUCAACCUGGGAAUUGCAUUCGAGACUGCAUAGCUAGGAUGCGGAAGAGGGAAGCGGAAUUUCCGGUGUAGCGGUGAAAUGCGUAGAUAUCGGAAGGAACAUCAGUGGCGAAAGCGGCUUCCUGGUCCAGCAUCGACGUCAGGCACGAAAGCGUGGGGAGCAAACAGG